AUACGGAGGAUCCGAGCGUUAUCCGGAUUUAUUGGGUUUAAAGGGUGCGCAGGCGGCCAUUUAAGUCAGCGGUUAAAUCGUGGGGCUCAACCCCAUUCUGCCGUUGAUACUGGGUGGCUUGAUUGCGGUCGAGGUUGGCGGAAUUCGUUGUGUAGCGGUGAAAUGCAUAGAUAUGACGAAGAACACCGAUUGCGUAGGCAGCUGACCAGACCGGAAAUGACGCUCAUGCACGAAAGUGCGGGGAUCGAACAGGAUUAGAUACCCUGGUAGUCCGCACAGUAAACGAUGAAUACUUGUUUUCGGCGAUAUAAUGUCGGAGGCAAAGCGAAAGCGAUAAGUAUUCCACCUGGGGAGUACGCCGGCAACGGUGAAACUCAAAUGAAUUGACGGGG
rnacentral:rRNA from 1 species